rnacentral:tRNA from 1 species
GACCGCGUAGCUCAGUUGGCAGACCGUUGGGCUGGUAUUCCCAAUGUCGUAGGUUCGAUUCCCACCGCGGGCA